rnacentral:lncRNA from 1 species
AAAUCAGAGGCCCAAGCAUGGGAAAACCUGAGAACUUGCUGGGCUCCCUAUUCCCUGUCUUUUCUGCCUCCAUGUUCCAACUCACCUCUGCCUGAUGGAAAGGACUGUAUUAAGAAAAGAAUAGCAUUCAAAAGUAGGAUGGCCUAAGAAUUGUGCCUGGGGCAAGUAGAAGACAAUACACAUGGGGUCAACUAAAGUAUCCACCUUCUGAAGAUCAACUACACAGCUUGUCUCAGGAUAAAUAUUCAUAUCGACCUGGCCAGAGUGGGGAAAGAAGAAAAGGCAAUGGAGAGGAAGCAAAUAUCAGAACAAGGUGCUCAGUGUCCUCUUGGUCUUCCACUAUCCAAGUCUACUCUUAAGAAUCUGAAACUUGUUCACAUUCUAACAGCUUUCUUCUAACAAGAGGACCUGCAUCUCCAUGGAGAUAAGAAGAAUGAAACACUGCCAAUGUAAUUCCAGGUCUCUAAAAAGUUCUGAAGAGUUUUAGGAGAAAGAGACAACCCCAAAUCACUUUGUUAAGGUGGUUAUCUUCUCUUACUACAAGCAACAUAGGCUUUCUUCAGUUGUAAAGUACAAUAAGAAAAGUAAGAAACUUAGUUCACUCUUUUCAGCUCUUUAGUAAUUGAUUAUAUGGAUUAUAUU